rnacentral:rRNA from 1 species
ACUCCUACGGGAGGCAGCAGUGGGGAAUAUUGCACAAUGGGCGCAAGCCUGAUGCAGCCAUGCCCGCGUGUAUGAAGAAGGCCUUCGGGUUGUAAAGUACUUUCAGCAGUGAGGAAGGCAGGUACGUUAACUAGCGUGCUUGUUUGACGUUAGCUGCAGAAGAAGCACCGGCUAACUCCGUGCCAGCAGCCGCGGUAAUACGGAGGGUGCGAGCGUUAAUCGGAAUUACUGGGCGUAAAGCGCAUGCAGGUGGUUUGUUAAGUCAGAUGUGAAAGCCCGGGGGCUCAACCUCGGAAUAGCAUUUGAAACUGGCAGACUAGAGUACUGUAGAGGGGGGUAGAAUUUCAGGUGUAGCGGUGAAAUGCGUAGAGAUCUGAAGGAAUACCGGUGGCGAAGGCGGCCCCCUGGACAGAUACUGACACUCAGAUGCGAAAGCGUGGGGAGCAAACAGGAUUAGACUACCCUGGUAGCACGAUG